CUACGGGUUGCUCCAGUUAGGGAUAUUCGGCAAUGGGGGAAACCCUGACCGAGCAAUGCCGCGUGAAUGAAGAAGUAUUUCGAUAUGUAAAGUUCUGUUGUUAAGGAAGAAAGGUACGAAUAGGAAAUGAUUCGUAAUUGACGGUACUUAACCAGAAAGCCCCUGCAAACUACGUGCCAGCAGCAGCGGUAAUACGUAGGGGGCGAGCGUUAUCCGGAAUUAUUGGGCGUAAAGGGGUGCGUAGGCGGCCUGUCAAGUCCGAGUUGAAAGCCCACGGCUUAACCGUGGAGGGUGCUCGGAAACUGAUAGGCUUGAAUCCAGAAGAGGCAAGUGGAAUUCUAUGUGGAGCGGUGGAAUGCGUAGAUAUAUGGAGGAACACCAGUGGCGAAGGCGGCUUGCUGGGCUGGUAUUGACGCUGAUGCACGAAAGCGUGGGGAGCAAACAGGAUUAGAUACCCGCGUAGUC
rnacentral:rRNA from 1 species